AUGAUAUUAUACCUAUACGUGUACAUAUAUAUAUAUAUAUACAUAUAUAUAUAUGUAUGUAUAUGUAUAACAAUAUCGCCGCCGCCG